UACGUAGGAUCCAAGCGUUGUCCGGAAUUACUGGGCGUAAAGGGCGCGCAGGCGGCUCUGAAAGUCAGAUGUGAAAGCCCCGGGCUUAACCUGGGAAUUGCAUUUGAUACUCUGGAGCUUGAGUGUGGGAGAGGAGAGUGGAAUUCCCAGUGUAGAGGUGAAAUUCGUAGAUAUUGGGAAGAACACCGGUGGCGAAGGCGGCUCUCUGGACCACAACUGACGCUGAGGCGCGAAAGCGUGGGGAGCAAACAGG
rnacentral:rRNA from 1 species